CCAGACUCCUACGGGAGGCAGCAGUGGGGAAUAUUGGGCAAUGGGCGCAAGCCUGACCCAGCAACGCCGCGUGAAGGAAGAAGGCUUUCGGGUUGUAAACUUCUUUUCUGAGGGACGAAGAAAGUGACGGUACCUCAGGAAUAAGUCACGGCUAACUACGUGCCAGCAGCCGCGGUAAUACGUAGGUGGCGAGCGUUAUCCGGAAUGAUUGGGCGUAAAGGGUGCGUAGGCGGUCGAUUAAGUCUGGAGUGAAAGGUACCGGCUCAACCGGUAUAGGCUCCGGAAACUGAUGGACUGGAGUACAGGAGAGGGUGGCGGAUCUCCAUGUGUAGCGGUAAAAUGCGUAGAUAUAUGGAAGAACACCGGUGGCGAAGGCGGCCGCCCGGACUGUAACUGACGCUGAGGCACGAAAGCGUGGGGAGCAAAUAGGAUUAGAUACCCGAGUAA
rnacentral:rRNA from 1 species